UGGGGAAUAUUGGACAAUGGGCGAAAGCCUGAUCCAGCCAUGCCGCGUGUGUGAAGAAGGUCUUCGGAUUGUAAAGCACUUUAAGUUGGGAGGAAGGGCAGUAAGCGAAUACCUUGCUGUUUUGACGUUACCGACAGAAUAAGCACCGGCUAACUCUGUGCCAGCAGCCGCGGUAAUACAGAGGGUGCAAGCGUUAAUCGGAAUUACUGGGCGUAAAGCGCGCGUAGGUGGUUCGUUAAGUUGAAUGUGAAAGCCCCGGGCUCAACCUGGGAACUGCAUCCAAAACUGGCGAGCUAGAGUAGGGCAGAGGGUGGUGGAAUUUCCGGUGUAGCGGUGAAAUGCGUAGCUAUAGGAAGGAACACCAGUGGCGAAGGCGACCACCUGGGCUCAUACUGACACUGAGGUGCGAAAGCGUGGGGAGCAAACAGG
rnacentral:rRNA from 1 species